rnacentral:rRNA from 1 species
UACGGAGGAUUCAAGCGUUAUCCGGAUUUACUGGGUGUAAAGGGAGCGUAGACGGAAUGGCAAGUCUGAUGUGAAAGGCGGGGGCUCAACCCCUGGACUGCAUUGGAAACUGCCAGUCUUGAGUACCGGAGGGGUAAGCGGAAUUCCUUGUGUAGCGGUGAAAUGCGUAGAUAUAAGGAAGAACACCAGUGGCGAAGGCGGAUAACUGGACGGCAACUGACGGUGAGGCGCGAAAGCGUGGGGAGCAAACAGG